rnacentral:rRNA from 1 species
UACGUAGGGGGCAAGCGUUGUCCGGAAUCAUUGGGCGUAAAGAGCGCGUAGGCGGUCCGGUAAGUCCGCUCUGAAAGUCCGGGGCUCAACCCCGGGAGGCGGGCGGAUACUGCCGGGCUAGAGUCCGGAAGAGGCGAGUGGAAUUCCUGGUGUAGCGGUGAAAUGCGCAGAUAUCAGGAGGAACACCAAUGGCGAAGGCAGCUCGCUGGGACGGUACUGACGCUGAGGCGCGAAAGCUAGGGGAGCAAACAGG